rnacentral:rRNA from 1 species
GAAAGCAUGGGGAGCGAACAGGAUUAGAUACCCUGGUAGUCCAUGCCGUAAACGUUGGGCACUAGGUGUGGGGCUCAUUCCACGAGUUCCGUGCCGCAGCAAACGCAUUAAGUGCCCCGCCUGGGGAGUACGGCCGCAAGGCUAAAACUCAAAGAAAUUGACGGGGGCCCGCACAAGCGGCGGAGCAUGCGGAUUAAUUCGAUGCAACGCGAAGAACCUUACCAAGGCUUGACAUACACCGGAAACUUCCAGAGAUGGUUGCCCCGCAAGGUCGGUGUACAGGUGGUGCAUGGUUGUCGUCAGCUCGUGUCGUGAGAUGUUGGGUUAAGUCCCGCAACGAGCGCAACCCUCGUCCUAUGUUGCCAGCACGUGAUGGUGGGGACUCAUAGGAGACUGCCGGGGUCAACUCGGAGGAAGGUGGGGAUGACGUCAAAUCAUCAUGCCCCUUAUGUCUUGGGCUUCACGCAUGCUACAAUGGCCGGUACAAAGGGCUGCGAUACCGCGAGGUGGAGCGAAUCCCAAAAAGCCGGUCUCAGUUCGGAUUGGGGUCUGCAACUCGACCCCAUGAAGUCGGAGUCGCUAGUAAUCGCAGAUCAGCAACGCUGCGGUGAAUACGUUCCCGGGCCUUGUACACACCGCCCGUCAAGUCAGCGAAAGUCGGUAACACCCGAAGCCGGUGGCCCAACCCUG